rnacentral:rRNA from 1 species
GAUGAACGCUGGCGGCGUGCCUAAUACAUGCAAGUCGAGCGAAUGGAUUAAGAGCUUGCUCUUAUGAAGUUAGCGGCGGACGGGUGAGUAACACGUGGGUAACCUGCCCAUAAGACUGGGAUAACUCCGGGAAACCGGGGCUAAUACCGGAUAACAUUUUGAACCGCAUGGUUAGAAAUUGAAAGGCGGCUUCGGCUGUAACUUAUGGAUGGACCCGCGUCGCAUUAGCUAGUUGGUUAGGUAACGGCUCACCAAGGCAACGAUGCGUAGCCGACGUGAGAGGGUGAUCGGCCACACUGGGACUGAGACACGGCCCAGACUCCUACGGGAGGCAGCAGUAGGGAAUCAUCCGCAAUGGACGAAAGUCUGACGGAGCAACGCCGCGUGAGUGAUGAAGGCUUUCGGGUCGUAAAACUCUGUUGUUAGGGAAGAACAAGUGCUAGUUGAAUAAGCUGGCACCUUGACGGUACCUAACCAGAAAGCCACGGCUAACUACGUGCCAGCAGCCGCCGUAA